rnacentral:rRNA from 1 species
UACGUAGGGGGCCAGCGUUGUCCGGACUUACUGGGCGUAAAGCGCACGUAGGCGGAUUGGUCAGUUAGGGGUGAAAUCCCAGAGCUCAACUCUGGAACUGCCUUUAAUACUGCCAGUCUCGAGUCCGGAAGAGGUAAGUGGAACUCCUAGUGUAGAGGUGGAAUUCGUAGAUAUUAGGAAGAACACCAGUGGCGAAGGCGGCUUACUGGUCCGGUACUGACGCUGAGGUGCGAAAGCGUGGGGAGCAAACAGG